rnacentral:tRNA from 1 species
GGGCAGAUAGUGUAAUGGUCAACACUUCCACAUUCGACUAAGUCAAAUCGUGGAGAUGAAGGUUCGAAUCCUUCUCUGUGCA